AUGUAUUUCCCCAUAGCAUUUGGGCUAUGUGAAGUUGAGUCAACAUAUAGUUGGGAGUGGUUCUUAGCCACUUUGAAGGAUGACUUGAAUAUAAGCAACUCUUCACCAUAUACAAUAAUGAGUGACAAGCAAAAGGGUUUAAUAGCAGCAGUGCAAAAAGUUUUCCCUUAUGCUGAACACAGAAACUGUGUUAGGCACAUCUACCAGAACUUUCAUAAAAUACACAAGGGAGAACAACUCAAGAAUGAUUUAUGGGCAAUAGCAAGAUCUACACAUGAAAUUGCUUAUAGUAAGAACAUGGAGCAGAUGAAGUAA
rnacentral:rRNA from 1 species